rnacentral:rRNA from 1 species
AAUGAACGUUGGCGGCGUGGAUUAGGCAUGCAAGUCGUGGGAGAACCCGCAAGGGGGAAACCGGCGAACGGGGUAGGACAACAUCGGUAACGUACCCUCGGGACGGGGAUAGCGGCGGGAAACUGCCGGUAAUACCCGAUGAUCUGGCAGCACUGCGAUGGCUGCCAGCAAAGGUGUGAUUCCACCAGGGGAGCGGCUGAUGCGCUAUUAGCUAGUUGGCGAGGUCACGGCUCACCAAGGCGACGAUGGCUAGGGGGUGUGAGAGCAUGGCCCCCACCACUGGCACUGAGACACUGGCCAGACACCUACGGGAGGCAG